rnacentral:rRNA from 1 species
CGGACGGGUGAGUAACGCGUGAGGAACCUGCCUUUCAGUGGGGGACAACAGUUGGAAACGACUGCUAAUACCGCAUAACGUACUGGUAUGCAUGGUACUGGUACCAAAGAUUUAUCGCUGAGAGAUGGCCUCGCGUCUGAUUAGCUAGUUGGUAGGGUAACGGCCUACCAAGGCGACGAUCAGUAGCCGGACUGAGAGGUUGGCCGGCCACAUUGGGACUGAGAUACGGCCCAGACUCCUACGGAAGGCAGCAG